CAUCUCAAGUCCCAUUAUGGUCAACAGUGGAAAAUCUUCUCUGCCAGAAAGCCAUCAGUCUUGCUAUCAGGGAGAUAUCUAAGUAGGCAAAAGCAGUGACUUGCAUGCUUAAAACUGUGUUUCUCUUUAGCUUGGCUGCAUGCACCUAAACUGUAUGAAACUGUGAGGUUUUAUGCCUGGAAUCCUUGGUUUGUCAGAAUGAUUGGGAGCAUGAAUAAGGGUCCUCUACUCCUGGGAAAGGGAAAUAUUUGUUUUAGCCUUUUUCCACAAUAAAUUCCUCUUGUGUCCAGUCAGAAUCUCCCCAGGAGUGACUUGUGCCCAACACCCCAUCAUCUUUUCCAUGAGACUCCUUGUAAAAAGGGGUGUCCAUUUGCUUUGUCCCAUGGGCUACACACUGGUUGUAGUGGUCUCCAUCACUGUAUGGCUCAUAGCAUUGUGCUUUCACAUACUUUUAGCUCACAGUGUGUCCAUCACUUUCCAUGUCCUUCAGCACUAAAAGUAUUUGCCUUUAUUCUUCAAGACCUCUGAUUUCUCCUGUUUUUCCACUUGGACUUCUCUUCACACCACAAAUCUUAGAAGAAGGGCUUCAUCAAGGAUGUCCCAGUGGAGUGCUGGAUCAUCACAACCGUUCCGAUCACAUGGAGAUGUCCUUUGACAGCUAACAAUCCUGAGAAGGAGAGGCCAGAGGCCACCAGGAAACCUGCUGAAGACCUGGAAGAAGCAAGAGGUGACCAAAGUCUGGAGAAGUGUUCAUUAAGGAAAAUGGAUAGCAGAAAAUCCCUGUUAGUUCCUUGCACUGGAAUAUGGAAACAGUCCUUCACUGGGGCCUUUUGGGUAGUGGGAAGGACAAGUUAGAGGAAAAACCUUUGACUGAAGUGUCAGUGAGGAGGGUUUUAGAUUUUAGAGUGGAUAAAGUGAAUAAUGACAGUCAGGACCAGCUGCUAGUCACACGAGCAUUAUGAAGGAGCUCAAAUAUGAAACUGCAGAGCUGCACACUGUGGCUUGUAACCCAUUGUUUAAACUGGCCCCAGUACCAAAGGAAUAAGAAGUGACAAAUGAGAUGCCAGAUUUUCAAGUGAACUCCUGGGGAAGCUGAGGCACCACAGAGCAGUGAGUCUGGCUUCUGUACUGGGACAACUGGAAAAGCUGGAGUGCAGAAUAAAUUAAUAGUUAUGGAUGUGCA
rnacentral:lncRNA from 14 species